GGAAGGCUCUGGGUCACCUCCCCACCCAUGUUUAUUGUACCUUGUUGCUUCGGCGGGCCCGCCUCACGGCCGCCGGGGGGCUUCUGCCCUCUGGCCCGCGCCCGCCGAAGACACCAUUGAACACUGUCUGAAGAUUGCAGUCUGAGCAAUUAGCUAAAUAAGUUAAAACUUUCAACAACGGAUCUCUUGGUUCCGGCAUCGAUGAAGAACGCAGCGAAAUGCGAUACGUAAUGUGAAUUGCAGAAUUCAGUGAAUCAUCGAGUCUUUGAACGCACAUUGCGCCCCUUGGUAUUCCGGGGGGCAUGCCUGUCCGAGCGUCAUUGCUGCCCUCAAGCACGGUUGGUGUGUUGGGCCCCGUCCUCCUUCCCGGGGGACGGGCCCGAAAGGCAGCGGCGGCACCGCGUCCGGUCCUCGAGCGUAUGGAGCUUUGUCACCCGCUCUUGUAGGCCCGGCCGGCGCUUGCCGACAACCAUCAAUCUUUUUUCAGGUUGACCUCGGAUCAGGUAGGGAUACCCGCUGAACUUAAGCAUAUCAAUAAGCAGGGG
rnacentral:rRNA from 1 species